CACUAUUUCAACAUCAAAAAAGAAAGAAAAAAGAUGGUUAAAGUUUAUCUCAUUGCUUUAGCACGGAGCUAAUCCCCGAACUAUCAGCAUCGCAGUCGACAAGAACUACACAUCUGAUCUAUGCCCACCUGGAACCAACAACAACAAUUAGAAACACUUGAACGAAACAGGGAUAAUUCACUUUAUUCAUCACUUCAUUCAGCUUACAACAGAAACCAGAAGAGAGGCGCGCGAGAGAGAGAGAGAGAGAGAGAGAGAGAGAGAGAGAGAGAGAGAGAGAGAGAGAGAGAGAGAGAG
rnacentral:lncRNA from 1 species